GACAUGUACGUGGUACGGAUCUGAAAGGUGAAGGACGGUACCUUCGGGUACCGAGCGUACACAGGUGCUGCAUGGCUGUCGUCAGCUCGUGUCGUGAGAUGUUGGGUUAAGUCCCGCAACGAGCGCAACCCUACGCUGAGUUACCAGCACGUAAAGGUGGGGACUCUCAGUGGACUGCCGGCGACAAGCCGGAGGAGGGUGGGGACGACGUCAAGUCAUCAUGGCCCUCAUGUCCAGGGCGACACACGUGCUACAAUGGCCGGCACAACGGGAAGCGACGGCGCGAGUCGUAGCGGAUCCCUCAAAGCCGGUCCCAGUUCGGAUUGCAGUCUGCAACUCGACUGCAUGAAGCCGGAAUCGCUAGUAAUCGUGGAUCAGCCAAGCCGCGGUGAAUACGUUCCCGGGCCUU
rnacentral:rRNA from 1 species